rnacentral:rRNA from 1 species
GUAGGGAAUAUUGUGCAAUGGUCGGAAGACUGACCCAGCCAUGCCGCGUGGAGGAUGAAGGUCCUCUGGAUUGUAAACUUCUUUUAUCUGGGACGAAAAAAGGUCUUUCUAGAUCGUCUGACGGUACCAGAUGAAUAAGCACCGGCUAACUCCGUGCCAGCAGCCGCGGUAAUACGGAGGGUGCAAGCGUUAUCCGGAUUCACUGGGUUUAAAGGGUGCGUAGGUGGGUUGGUAAGUCAGUGGUGAAAUCUUCGAGCUUAACUCGGAAACUGCCAUUGAUACUAUCAGUCUUGAAUAUUGUGGAGGUUAGCGGAAUAUGUCAUGUAGCGGUGAAAUGCUUAGAUAUGACAUAGAACACCAAUUGCGAAGGCAGCUGGCUACACAUAUAUUGACACUGAGGCACGAAAGCGUGGGGAUCAAACAGGAUUAGAAACCCGAGUAGUCC